CAUAGUACCAAUACAACAGAAUUAAGUUUUCUAAAGUUUUUAAAACUUAAACUUCUGAUGAGGUGUGUAGGAAUGAUAAUUAUUUUAAAAUCUUAUAAGAAUUAAUUACCAUGCUAACACAAGUCAAACAUGGAAAGUUCUUGGAAGAAGCGAAGUGGACGAAUCUCCACUGCCUCUCCAAGAAGUAGGAGGUGAUACUGGUCUGUAUCAGUCAACAGGGCCUGGAUGGUUUGAUCAAACUAAGGUCUUACAUAAACCAAAAAGUAGUAUAGUAGUAUCAGGAAAUAGGUUUGACCCAGGCAAUGAGUUCGAUAUUACAAAUGGAAAGACACAGCUGAAGUUUUCAAAAACAUAUUAAAUCUAAUAAAUUCUGAAAAUAAAAACAUUAAUGAUUGAUGCUGACAGACAUUAUGUUUAUCAAAAUAAUUUACAAAGCAAAUGUAAAUAAUUAUGCAUUUCCCAUUUCAUACCAGCCUUUAAACACUGGAUUAAACAUGUAUGCAACCAUUUAAUAAGAAUUAGUAGCUAGACAAAGAUGUUUGAAUGCAAAGUUGUACCUAAUUGUAUGUAUUACUUUGAGUGAAACAUUUAGAUAGUUCUAGAAAUAGUUGACUAAAGUCAUAAAUUGAAUCAAAUAAUCUAAUUAGAAA